GACGAACGCUGGCGGCGUGCCUAAUACAUGCAAGUCGAACGGACGAAUCGAAAGCUUGCUUGUUAUUCGUUAGCGGCGGACGGGUGAAUAACACGUGUACAACCUGCCCUGUAGACGGGGAUAACACCGAGAAAUCGGUGCUUAUCCCGGAUAACACGAAGUUUCGCAUGGCGUUUCGGUGAGAUACGGCGCAAGCUGCCGCAACAGGAUGGGCCCGCGGCGCAUUAGCUAGUUGGUGUGGUAACGGCUCACCAAGGCGAGGAGACGUAGACGACCGGAGGGGGUGAUCGGCGACACUGGGAGUUGGCCACGGCCCAGACUCCUGCGGGAGGACGCAGUAGGGAAUCUGCCGCAAUGGACGAGAGUCUGACGGAGCAACGCCGCGUGAGAGAAGAAGGCCUUCGGGUCGGAAAGCUCUGUUGUUAGGGGAGAACAAGUAACGCAGUAACUGGCGUUACAGUGACGGUACCUAAUGAGAAAGCAACGGCUAACUACGUG
rnacentral:rRNA from 1 species